ACGGAAGGCAGCAGUGGGGAAUAUUGGACAAUGGGGGAAACCCCGAUCCAGCGACGCCGCGUGAGUGAAGAAGUAUUUCGGUAUGUAAAGCUCUAUCAGCAGGGAAGAUAAUGACGGUACCUGACUAAGAAGCCCCGGCUAACUACGUGCCAGCAGCCGCGGUAAUACGUAGGGGGCAAGCGUUAUCCGGAUUUACUGGGUGUAAAGGGAGCGUAGACGGAAGGCCAAGUCUGAUGUGAAAACCCGGGGCUCAACCCCGGGACUGCAUUGGAAACUGGUCAUCUAGAGUGCAGGAGAGGUAAGUGGAAUUCCUAGUGUAGCGGUGAAAUGCGUAGAUAUUAGGAGGAACACCAGUGGCGAAGGCGGCUUACUGGACUGUAACUGACGUUGAGGCUCGAAAGCGUGGGGAGCAAACAGGAUUAGAUACCCUGGUA
rnacentral:rRNA from 1 species